CUAAAAUCAUGUCUGCACACCGCAACUGCAACUAUCAGAAAGCAAAAGUGCCGCCCUAGUUUUGUGUGUAUUCAUUUCCAUUUUCCAACCCUAACCAAGCGCUCUUCUUGCUCUCUCUGUUUGACAUCAAAAUCUCACAGUGGUGGAAAAGAGUAAAAGAUCAAUGUGGGUCGACCACAAUUGUUUUUUUUCUGCACCUGAUGUUACUGUGUGCUUAUUGGCCUUGAUUGAGCUAGAAGCUACAGAGAUCUGUGAGUACAUUGAAGUUAGCUGAACCAACAUGGGAUAUGUAAUUACUCUGCAAAACAAUAUUUUUACAUCCCAAUUUUUGCUUGGUAUGCGUGAGUGCAUCAGACAAGAUGGCUGUAAUUCAAGUUCCACCUUUUCUUUUAAUUGUUCUUCGCCGAAGAAAUCUCCAUCCAUACUUAGAAUUUGUUAUUUCAAGUACUUUGUUGCAACAAAAAAUUGUUCACUUCAAAAAGGAUUGCCGUGUAGAAGCUUUCAAGAACGGGGAAGUGUUUUGCUUGAUAGAGUCAAUGAAGUUGACCAUGAAGAUUGGGCCUUUGAAGGUUAUUCUGUCGGUGAAGGUAACAAUAAUAAAUUCACAGAACUAGUGGAUUUAAACAAGUCUAUAGACUCCCCAUCUUUGUCCCCAGAUGGACCAUUUGUUGGCAAUAAUGAAAAAACAAAUAAUAUGAUACUCCAGAAUCUUUGCAGCCGCGGAAAGUUAACGCUUGCAGCAAAGUUGAUUGAUAUUAUGUCACGUAAAGGCCAAAUACCUCAUUUCCCUUGUUGUACAAAUUUGAUUCGUGGCUUUAUCAGAAUCGGUCUAGUCGGAAAAGCUUGUAGAAUAAUGAACAUAAUGGUCAUGUCUGGUGGUGUUCCUGACACAAUUACAUUCAACAUGGUAAUUGGUGGCCUGUGUAAAAUAGGUCGUCUGAGAUCUGCAAUUGCUAUGGUUGAAGAUAUGAGCAUGAGUGGCUGCUCCCCAGAUGCAAUUACAUACAAUACAAUAAUUCGCUGCAUAUUUGAUAAUGGCAAAGAUGCCAAUCAGGCGAUUAGCUUCUGGAAGGAACAAUUGAGGAAAGGGUGCCCUCCUUAUCUGGUUACCUACACAGUUCUUAUCGAUCUGGUGUGCAGAUACUGUGGCACUGCUCGUGCACUCGAAGUACUUGAAGAUAUAGCAAUGGAAGGAUGCUAUCCAGAUAUCAUUACAUACAAUUGUCUCACAAAUCUUACUUCUAAACAAGGGAAGUAUGACGAUACAGUUUUCAUUUUGAAUAAUCUUCUAACCCACGGGAUGGAGCCAAACUAUGUGACAUACAAUACUCUUCUUCAUUCUCUUAGUAACCAUGGGUACUGGGAUGAAGUUGAUGAGAUUCUGAAGAUUAUGAGUGAGACUACUGGUCCACCCACAGUUGUCACCUACAAUAUUAUGCUCAAUGGUUUAUGUAAAUCUGGACUUCUGGAUCGUGCAAUAAGCAUCUACAUUAAUAUGGUUUCAGAAAACUGUUCACCAGACAUUAUAACUUACAAUACUCUUCUACGCGCUGUGUGUAAAGAGGGCUUUAUCGAUGAGGGCAUUGAGUUACUUCACUUAUUGGCAGGCACUACUUCUCCGGGGCUGGUAAGCUAUAAUAUAGUGAUUGAUGGGGUGACAAAAAUGGGAUAUAUGGACUCAGCAAAAGAAUUGUAUGGUGAAAUGACAAAAAAGGGAAUAACUCCUGAUGAAAUUACGCAUAGUUGUAUGACUUGGGGAUUUUGUCGAUUGCAACAACUUGAGGAAGCUGUACAGAUAUUAAAGCUGAUGACUAAGAAAGAACAAAAGAUUAAAGAUGGUGCUUACAGAUAUGUGAUCCUUGGAUUAUGUAAACAGAGGAAGGUUGAUGUUGCAAUUCAGGCCCUGGAUUUGAUGGUAAGAAACCAAUACCAGCCAGAUGCGAGGAUAUAUUAUACUUUGAUUAAAGCUCUUGCUGAUGAGGGUAUGGUAGAAGAGGCUAACAAUUUGCACCAGCAGUUGGUCAGAUGGAAUCUUCUGAAAAAGGAAACCAUGUUUAGUUAAUUGACAUGUGCGCAUAAGGAAUGGCCGAAUUCUAAUGCUUCUACAAGCCAUGUACAGUUUGCACAUUCCUGUCGCAGGAAAACUUGUUUGGGAAGUUUUGACAGUUACUCAUCUGGGAACUGCAAGGUCCAAGAGCAUUGUGGCCAAUGGUCAUUACAGUUGCACCAUGAAAUCAUUUUAGUUGUUGAAGUUGGCACAAGCUUGUGCUGCUUCUCUUUUAGUCUUCCGUUUUUCAGUUUUGCAGAAUUUUGUUGAUGACUUGUGUGCAGUAUUUAGAUAGCAUAUUCAGGAUGAAGUGAACAGCAUAGUGUAAUCCUUUUUAAUGGUUUUGGUAGUUUUAGGUUUUUCUCUGUUGGCCAAAUAUACUAUCUAUCUAUCUAUCUAUCAAUCAGCAUUUCUUACCACAUAAUUUGGAUUAAAGUCAGUUAUUUAUUUUGCCACAAACAUACUUUUUGUUCGGUUGAGACACGUGUCUAUAGGGGACAUGAUUCUCCUGUGCUGAAUUUUA